UGGGGAAUAUUGGACAAUGGGGGCAACCCUGGUCCAGCGAUGCCGCGUGUGUGAAGAAGGCCUGCGGGUUGUAAAGCACUUUCAAUUGGGAAGAGAAGCGCCUUGUGAAUAAUGAGGUGUGGAGACGUUACUAAUAGAAGAAGCACCGGCUAACUCUGUGCCAGCAGCCGCGGUAAUACAGAGGGUGCGAGCGUUAAUCGGAGUNACUGGGCGUAAAGGGCGCGUAGGCGGUUAUAUUAGUCUGAUGUGAAAGCUCUGGGCUUAACCUGGGAUAGGCAUUGGAAACGGUAUGACUCGAGUGCGGGAGAGGGAAGGGGAAUUUCCGGAGUAGCGGUGAAAUGCGUAGAUAUCGGAAAGAACACUAGUGGCGAAGGCGACUUUCUGGCACACAACUGACGCUGAGGCGCGAAAGCGUGGGUAGCGAACAGGAUUAGAUACCCUGGUAGUCCACGCUGUAAACGAUGAGAACUGGGGGUAUGAUUGGCGCAAGCCGAUGUGUCUCUAAGCAAACGCACUAAGUUCUCCGCCUGGGGAGUAUGACUGCAAGGUU
rnacentral:rRNA from 1 species